GCGAACGCUGGCGGCAGGCCUAAUACAUGCAAGUCGAGCGGCCCUUCGGGGCAGCGGCGGACGGGUGAGUAACGCGUGGGAACGUGCCCUUUGGUACGGAACAACUGAGGGAAACUUCAGCUAAUACCGUAUGUGCCCUUCGGGGGAAAGAUUUAUCGCCAUUGGAGCGGCCCGCGUUAGAUUAGCUAGUUGGUAGGGUAAUGGCCUACCAAGGCGACGAUCUAUAGCUGGUCUGAGAGGAUGAUCAGCCACACUGGGACUGAGACACGGCCCAGACUCCUACGGGAGGCAGCAGUAGGGAAUCUUGCGCAAUGGGCGAAAGCCUGACGCAGCCAUGCCGCGUGAAUGAUGAAGGUCUUAGGAUUGUAAAAUUCUUUCACCGGGGACGAUAAUGACGGUACCCGGAGAAGAAGCCCCGGCUAACUUCGUGCCAGCCGCCGCGGUAA
rnacentral:rRNA from 1 species